rnacentral:lncRNA from 1 species
UUGUUACUUUAUACUAUCAUGUCUAAAAUUGACAUUUUAUUUCUCAAAAGCACUUUUUGACAGUAAUAUCAAACACUCAAAUUUUUCAAAAGCACUUCUCAAAAGCAAUGAAGAACUGGCCCGCAAAGUUGUCAUGCGAGCCUCUGCCCAUGUCGAGUCGAAGCUAUACAAGGCUUUCAUCUCCAUUUUACCCAAGACCAUAUUGUCCUCGUCUCGUGCUAUACACCCAAGUCCGGUCGUACGCGUGCUAGCAUCCCAUGCAGCAUCAACAUUAAUUUUCACAUGGCUCGGGCCUAGGGCUCGCCACCAUUCAACCUGCGGCUGCCUUGGCAGAUGAUCAUCAAAUUAUGGACACGAAACUUCUCAUGUAGUGAUUGCGAAAAGUUUAUUGGAGGAGGAGGGGAGUGAGGGUUUGAAAAUAGAAAGAUGAGAUGGGAGAAAAAAGUUAGAGAUUAGGAAAAAUAAAAGUAAAGUUAGCUAUAUAUACCAUUUGAAUAAUGAAAUACUAUACUUUUUUUUCCUUAAAAAAUCCUAUACCGACGAAUGUGUAAACUUUAUCAAGGUAAAUUAGAUUUUUAUUGACGAAUUUGAAGUAAUCUCCAAUACAUCACACUCUAUGAUAGUUUUAACUUAUAUUGAUACUUAAUAAAUUGUGCUAGUAUAUUGACAAAUUUAAUUUGAGGGUCACUAAUACUCAAAUCAACAGGUUUUUUUCAAUACAACUGUUCCUAUAACUCUUUGAAAUGUAUUACAGGAACUAAGAGAAACAUCGGAAAUUAAUAUGGAAGAAAUAGCAAAGGGAACAACAUCCUCAGAAUACCUGUUUGCAUAGAACAAAGCUACCCUAAAAAGGAAAUGAGCCGCCCUUUUAAUAUCCCACCACGUCCAAGGCAAUCUAAUUCGAUAAAUAUCCUAUCAAAAUGUUGAGCCUUUAAACUAAGAGUGUUGGGCUAAAUACGUUAGCGAACAAAUAUAAAUAUAAAUAUUUAUAUUAAAUACAAGAUCAAAACGAAUAAUAUAAACAAAUAUUUAUAUUUAUAUAAAAACACUAGAUCUAAACAAAAUAAAUUAAAUAAAUAUUUAUAUUUAUUUAAAAUAUCAUAUCUGAAAACAAUUAAAUAAAUAAGAUAUUGAAAAAUCAUAAAUCAAAUGAGGGAAUCGAGUUUUAUUAGCUUGUUUUCACAGUUUCCUUAAGAUAGAUUCAACUACUCCUAUUGUACUUGGAAAAACGUUGAUUGUCUAUCUCCUAGAAUACUACAACAAAAUGAUCGCGGCAGUAGUACCUCUAUAGUAAUCACCGAACAAACCUUACCUUCUUCUAUUACCGUGACCGUGACCGCGAAUUCUACAAUCUUCGAAGGAGGGUGGUCAUUAUUCUUCCAAACUAACAGGUUCCUAUGGAACCAAAGACUCCACAAGACCACCAAAAUAAGGUCCCGCUGCCGAAUAUCAGAAAUAGAUAACAUAGAAGCAAUAAAAUUCUUCACCGAAUCAGUUUGCACUACAACACCCAUCAUAUUCCGGAUUAUUGUAGCAUUUGACACCAAAGCAGUACAUGUUCAAGAGAUUCACUUCCUCCACACCUUAUCCAACUAUCAUCAACGAUACACCCUUUGUCUUUCAAACGACCUUUGCAAGGAACAAAAUUACGAAUACACCGUCACAGAAAAUCCAACACCUUCGGUGGCAACUUAGCAGUCCAAAGCUUAAGCCAAGAAAAAUCCAUAUAAUGAUGGUUUCUUAACUUAUGUUGUAGUGUUAAAAAACUCUAGUGUACCAUAUGAUAAUAACAUUUGAUAC